rnacentral:rRNA from 1 species
CAGUAGCCACGGGAAUACGAAUGGUGCAAGCGUUAAUCGGAAUUACUGGGCGUAAAGCGCGCGUAGGCGGUUUGUUAAGUCUGUUGUGAAAUCCCCGGGCUCAACCUGGGAAUGGCAAUGGAUACUGGCAAGCUAGAGUGUGUCAGAGGAUGGUGGAAUUCCCGGUGUAGCGGUGAAAUGCGUAGAGAUCGGGAGGAACAUCAGUGGCGAAGGCGGCCCCCUGGACAAAGACUGACGCUCAGGUGCGAAAGCGUGGGGAGCAAACAGGAUUAGAUACCCCGGUAGUCCCUGUCUCUUAUAC